CUAAGCGUACACGGUGGAUGCCCUGGCAGUCAGAGGCGAUGAAGGACGUGCUAAUCUGCGAUAAGCGCCGGUAAGGUGAUAUGAACCGUUAUAACGGGCGAUUGCAGAAUGGGGAAACCCAGGGUGAUUCGUGACACUAUCAUUCACGGAAGACAUAGGUCAACGAGGCGAACCGGGGGAACUGAAACAUCUAAGUACCCCGAGGAAAAGAAAUCAACCGAGAUUCCCCCA
rnacentral:rRNA from 1 species